AGAGUUUGAUCCUGGCUCAGAAUGAACGCUGGCGGCGUGCCUAACACAUGCAAGUCGGAUGUGCCGCAAGGUGCAUGGCAGACGGGUGAGUAACGCGUGGGGAAUCUACCUCUUUGUGGGGAAUAACGCUCCGAAAGGAGUGGUAAUACCGCAUGAGACCAAUGGCUGGAAUGUUGUUGGUGAAACCUGGGGACCGCAAGGCCUGGGGCAAGGAGAGGAUCCUGCGUCUGAUUAGCUAGUUGGCGGGGUAACGGCCCACCAAGGCGACGAUCAGUAGCCGGCCUGAGAGGGUGAUCGGCCACACUGGAACUGAGACACGGUCCAGACUCCUACGGGAGGCAGCAGUGGGGAAUUUUGCGCAAUGGGCGAAAGCCUGACGCAGCAACGCCGCGUGGGUGAUGAAGGUCUUCGGA
rnacentral:rRNA from 1 species